GGGGUGAAUACUGGAAGUUGUAUCUCGGGCCUUAUCAGCAAUCUCCUUCAAUCUCUCUAGUGCAGGAAGUACUUGAUCUUUCAAAUCAGGUCUGUCCCUUCGACGCAACUCGGCACAUCUUAGUCCCAGUAAAGCCAAUUCUUUUGUCUCUUCAUGUGGCCAAUUCCCAGCUUCUGAAUCUAAAAUCUCCAAUAAACGACCAUCAUCAAUUGCUGUUUCCAUUAUGUGUGUCAAUGCUUUUGCUGGUUUUGCAGUCAGCAACUGCAAAAUUACCAUCCCAAAGGCAUAAACAUCUGAUUUUGGAGAAACCAGCCCAGUUCUUUGAUAUUCCGGAUCUAUGUAGCAGAGUGUCCCUACUAGCCCUGUGUCCUUGUACGUUGUGGUUGCAAAGGAAGCAUCUGUAUUGAGCACCGUUGAAAGGCCAACAUCACCAAUCUUGCUCACAAGGUUGUGAUCAAGUAAGAUGUUAGCUGGUUUCAUAUCACGAUGAAUAAUUGGCUUUGGCUUAGAGUUGUGAAGAAAAACAAGAGCUGAGGCCACUUCCCAAGCUAUUCGGUACCUUUCAAACCAUGGGAUUGGUGGUGUAUUGUUCACCCUGAGUAGCCUAUCCUCCAAGCUACCAUUCUCCAUAUACUCAUAAACUAGGCAACCGUGAUCCGAACAAGCACCAAGAAGGAUAAGCAAAUGUGGGUGACGAAUUUUACUUAAGAUCUCAA
rnacentral:misc_RNA from 1 species